rnacentral:rRNA from 1 species
UAUACGGUGAACUGCGAAUGGCUCAUUAAAUCAGUUAUCGUUUAUUUGAUAGUACCUUACUACUUGGAUAACCGUGGUAAUUCUAGAGCUAAUACAUGCUAAAAACCCUGACUUCGGAAGGGGUGUAUUUAUUAGAUAAAAAACCAGCGCCCUUCGGGGCUCCUUGGUGAUUCAUAAUAACUAAACGAAUCGCAUGGCCUUGCGCCGGCGAUGGUUCAUUCAAAUUUCUGCCCUAUCAACUUUCGAUGGUAGGAUAGUGGCCUACCAUGGUAUCAACGGGUAACGGGGAAUUAGGGUUCUAUUCCGGAGAGGGAGCCUGAGAAACGGCUACCACAUCCAAGGAAGGCAGCAGGCGCGCAAAUUACCCAAUCCCGACACGGGGAGGUAGUGACAAUAAAUACUGAUACAGGGCUCUUUUGGGUCUUGUAAUUGGAAUGAGUACAAUUUAAAUCCCUUAACGAGGAACAAUUGGAGGGCAAGUCUGGUGCCAGCAGCCGCGGUAAUUCCAGCUCCAAUAGCGUAUAUUAAAGUUGUUGCAGUUAAAAAGCUCGUAGUUGAACCUUGGGCCUGGCUGGCCGGUCCGCCUCACCGCGUGUACUGGUCCGGCCGGGCCUUUCCUUCUGGGGAGCCGUAUGCCCUUCACUGGGCGUAUUGGGGAACCAGGACUUUUACUUUGAAAAAAUUAGAGUGUUCAAAGCAGGCCUUUGCUCGAAUACAUUAGCAUGGAAUAAUAGAAUAGGACGUGCGGUUCUAUUUUGUUGGUUUCUAGGACCGCCGUAAUGAUUAAUAGGGAUAGUCGGGGGCAUCAGUAUUCAAUUGUCAGAGGUGAAAUUCUUGGAUUUAUUGAAGACUAACUACUGCGAAAGCAUUUGCCAAGGAUGUUUUCAUUAAUCAGUGAACGAAAGUUAGGGGAUCGAAGACGAUCAGAUACCGUCGUAGUCUUAACCAUAAACUAUGCCGACUAGGGAUCGGGCGAUGUUAUCAUUUUGACUCGCUCGGCACCUUACGAGAAAUCAAAGUC